CUUGGGGUUGUAGGACACUCUAUACGGAGUUACAAAAGAAAGUUAUAAAUGAAGCGGUCUGGAAAGGCCCGCCAAAGACGGUAACAGCCCGGUAGUUGAAAUGGCUUUCCCUCCAGAGUGGAUCCUGAGUACGGCGGAACACGUGAAAUUCCGUCGGAAUCCGGGAGGACCAUCUCCCAAGGCUAAAUACUCCCUAGUGACCGAUAGUGAACCAGUACCGUGAGGGAAAGGUGAAAAGCACCCCGGAAGGGGAGUGAAACAGUUCCUGAAACCGUGUGCCUACAAGUAGUUAGAGCCCGUUAAUGGGUGAUAGCGUGCCUUUUGUAGAAUGAACCGGCGAGUUACGAUUUGUUGCAAGGUUAAGCGGAAAAAGCGGAGCCGUAGCGAAAGCGAGUCUGAAUAGGGCGCAUAAGUAACAGGUCGUAGACCCGAAACCAGGUGAUCUACCCAUGUCCAGGAUGAAGGUAAGGUAAUACUUACUGGAGGUCCGAACCCACGCACGUUGAAAAGUGCGGGGAUGAGGUGUGGGUAGCGGAGAAAUUCCAAUCGAACUUGGAGAUAGCUGGUUCUCUCCGAAAUAGCUUUAGGGCUAGCCUCGAGGUAAAGAGUCAUGGAGGUAGAGCACUGUUUGGACUAGGGGCCCUUCUCGGGUUACCGAAUUCAGAUAAACUCCGAAUGCCAUGUACUUAUACUCGGGAGUCAGACUGCGAGUGAUAAGAUCCGUAGUCGAAAGGGAAACAGCCCAGACCACCAGUUAAGGUCCCCAAAUAUAUGUUAAGUGGAAAAGGAUGUGGGGUUGCUUAGACAACCAGGAUGUUGGCUUAGAAGCAGCCACCAUUGAAAGAGUGCGUAAUAGCUCACUGGUCGAGUGACCCCGCGCCGAAAAUGUACCGGGGCUAAACAUAUUACCGAAACUGUGGAUGAACCUCUUUAGAGGUUCGUGGUAGGAGAGCGUUCUAAGGGCGGUGAAGUCAGACCGGAAGGACUGGUGGAGCGCUUAGAAGUGAGAAUGCCGGUAUGAGUAGCGAAAGAAGGGUGAGAAUCCCUUCCACCGAAUAUCUAAGGUUUCCUGAGGAAGGCUCGUCCGCUCAGGGUUAGUCGGGACCUAAGCCGAGGCCGAUAGGCGUAGGCGAUGGACAACAGGUAGAGAUUCCUGUACCAGUGCUAAUUGUUUAACCGAUGGGGUGACACAGAAGGAUAGGGAAUCGCACGAAUGGAAAUGUGCGUCCAAGCAGUGAGUGUGAGAAGUAGGCAAAUCCGCUUCUCGCGAAGCAUGAGCUGUGAUGGGGAAGGAAAUUAAGUACGGAAGUUCCUGAUUUCACGCUGUCAAGAAAAGCCUCUAGGAAGAGUAGUACUGCCCGUACCGCAAACCGACACAGGUAGAUGAGGAGAGAAUCCUAAGGUGAGCGAGAGAACUCUCGUUAAGGAACUCGGCAAAAUGACCCCGUAACUUCGGGAGAAGGGGUGCUCUAUUAGGGUGCAAGCCCGAGAGAGCCGCAGUGAAUAGGCCCAGGCGACUGUUUAGCAAAAACACAGGUCUCUGCAAAACCGUAAGGUGACGUAUAGGGGCUGACGCCUGCCCGGUGCUGGAAGGUUAAGAGGAGUGCUUAGCUUCGGCGAAGGUACGAAUUGAAGCCCCAGUAAACGGCGGCCGUAACUAUAACGGUCCUAAGGUAGCGAAAUUCCUUGUCGGGUAAGUUCCGACCCGCACGAAAGGCGCAACGAUCUGGGCACUGUCUCAACGAGAGACUCGGUGAAAUUAUAGUACCUGUGAAGAUGCAGGUUACCCGCGACAGGACGGAAAGCCCCCGUGGAGCUUUACUGCAACCUGAUAUGGAAUGUUUGUACCGCUUGUACAGGAUAGGUAGGAGCCGAAGAGACGUGUGCGCUAGCAUACGAGGAGGCAAUGGUGGGAUACUACCCUGGCUGUAUGACCAUUCUAACCCGCCACGCUUAGCGCGUGGGGAGACAGUGUCAGGUGGGCAGUUUGACUGGGGCGGUCGCCUCCUAAAGAGUAACGGAGGCGCCCAAAGGUUCCCUCAGAAUGGAUGGAAAUCAUUCGCAGAGUGUAAAGGCACAAGGGAGCUUGAC
rnacentral:rRNA from 1 species